rnacentral:rRNA from 1 species
AGUGAACGCUGGCGGUAGGCCUAACACAUGCAAGUCGAACGGCAGCACAGUAAGAGCUUGCUCUUACGGGUGGCGAGUGGCGGACGGGUAAGGAAUACAUCGGAAUCUACUUUUUCGUGGGGGAUAACGUAGGGAAACUUACGCUAAUACCGCAUACGACCUACGGGUGAAAGCAGGGGAUCUUCGGACCUUGCGCGAUUGAAUGAGCCGAUGUCGGAUUAGCUAGUUGGCGGGGUAAAGGCCCACCAGGGCGACGAUCCGUAGCUGGUCUGAGAGGAUGGUCGCCCACACUGAAACUGAGACCCGUUCCGAACUCCUACGGGAGGCGGCGUUGGGGAAUUUCGGACAAUGGGGGCAACCCGGCGCCGCCCAGCCCGCGUGGGGGAAAAGGGCCUUCGAGUUGUAAAGCCCUUUAGUUGGGAAGGAAAAGCGGCAGGUUAAUUCCCCGCUGUUCUACCGUUCCCCAACGAAUAAGCACCGGCAACCUUCGU